rnacentral:rRNA from 1 species
CGUACACUCCUGGGGAGGCAGCAGUGGGGAAUAUUGCACAAUGGGCGCAAGCCUGAUGCAGCCAUGCCGCGUGUAUGAAGAAGGCCUUCGGGUUGUAAAGUACUUUCAGCGGGGAGGAAGGCAAUACGGUUAAUAACCGUGUUGAUUGACGUUACCCGCAGAAGAAGCACCGGCUAACUCCGUGCCAGCAGCCGCGGUAAUACGGAGGGUGCAAGCGUUAAUCGGAAUUACUGGGCGUAAAGCGCACGCAGGCGGUCUGUCAAGUCGGAUGUGAAAUCCCCGGGCUCAACCUGGGAACUGCAUUCGAAACUGGCAGGCUUGAGUCUUGUAGAGGGGGGUAGAAUUCCAGGUGUAGCGGUGAAAUGCGUAGAGAUCUGGAGGAAUACCGGUGGCGAAGGCGGCCCCCUGGACAAAGACUGACGCUCAGGUGCGAAAGCGUGGGGAGCAAACAGGAUUAGAUACCCCGGUAGUCCCAU